GGGAGUGCUCGCAAGAGAACCGGAACACAGGUGCUGCAUGGCUGUCGUCAGCUCGUGUCGUGAGAUGUUGGGUUAAGUCCCGCAACGAGCGCAACCCUUGUCAUUAGUUGCCAUCAUUUGGUUGGGCACUCUAAUGAGACUGCCGGUGACAAACCGGAGGAAGGUGGGGAUGACGUCAAGUCCUCAUGGCCCUUAUGGGUAGGGCUUCACACGUCAUACAAUGGUCGGUACAGAGGGUUGCCAACCCGCGAGGGGGAGCUAAUCCCACAAAGCCGAUCGUAGUCCGGAUCGCAGUCUGCAACUCGACUGCGUGAAGUCGGAAUCGCUAGUAAUCGUGGAUCAGCAUGUCACGGUGAAUACGUUCCCGGGUCUU
rnacentral:rRNA from 1 species